AAUGUUGAGCGAUAAGCCCGUUAUAGGUUGUUCAGGGUGCUCCCCUCUGUGAGGCUAUGAGCCCUGACACAGCAAGCCUAUACGGCACGCUCGUUUU
rnacentral:sRNA from 1 species